rnacentral:lncRNA from 1 species
AUAAUACCAUACUAUAAUAAGGUAUAUGUAAUCUAGUCAAACCAGAAACAAAAAAAAAUUAUGUAUUCAUUACCAUCUAUACAUAUCUAAUACUUAAACAUAAUGUAUUAUAAUGAAAUUUGGUAAAAAAAGUUACUAUAAUGAAUUUAAUUACUUCUUAUCUUAGAAUGAUCAUCCUACAAUAUUAACCCAUCAAUCAAUUGAAAGUUACUCACUAAUUAUGAAUUUUUUUUUUUGUAGACACAUGUUUCUUUUUUCUUGACUAUUGCAAAUUUUUUCAUGGUAAGUGUAGAUUCUGGAUAUAUAUGUUUGAAUUUUGGAUUAGAGACAAGGAAGUAGUUAACUAAAAUGG